GAUGAACGCUAGCUACAGGCUUAACACAUGCAAGUCGAGGGGCAGCAUGGUCUUAGCUUGCUAAGGCCGAUGGCGACCGGCGCACGGGUGAGUAACACGUAUCCAACCUGCCGUCUACUCUUGGACAGCCUUCUGAAAGGAAGAUUAAUACAAGAUGGCAUCAUGAGUCCACAUGUUCACAUGAUUAAAGGUAUUCCGGUAGACGAUGGGGAUGCGUUCCAUUAGAUAGUAGGCGGGGUAACGGCCCACCUAGUCUUCGAUGGAUAGGGGUUCUGAGAGGAAGGUCCCCCACAUUGGAACUGAGACACGGUCCAAACUCCUACGGGAGGCAGCAGUGAGGAAUAUUGGUCAAUGGGCGAGAGCCUGAACCAGCCAAGUAGCGUGAAGGAUGACUGCCCUAUGGGUUGUAAACUUCUUUUAUAAAGGAAUAAAGUCGGGUAUGGAUACCCGUUUGCAUGUACUUUAUGAAUAAGGAUCGGCUAACUCCGUGCCAGCAGCCGCGGUAAUACGGAGGAUCCGAGCGUUAUCCGGAUUUAUUGGGUUUAAAGGGAGCGUAGAUGGAUGUUUAAGUCAGUUGUGAAAGUUUGCGGCUCAACCGUAAAAUUGCAGUUGAUACUGGAUAUCUUGAGUGCAGUUGAGGCAGGCGGAAUUCGUGGUGUAGCGGUGAAAUGCUUAGAUAUCACGAAGAGCUCCGAUUGCGAAGGCAGCCUGCUAAGCUGCAACUGACAUUGAGGCUCGAAAGUGUGGGUAUCAAACAGGAUUAGAUACCCUGGUAGUCCACACGGUAAACGAUGAAUACUCGCUGUUUGCGAUAUACAGCAAGCGGCCAAGCGAAAGCGUUAAGUAUUCCACCUGGGGAGUACGCCGGCAACGGUGAAACUCAAAGGAAUUGACGGGGGCCCGCACAAGCGGAGGAACAUGUGGUUUAAUUCGAUGAUACGCGAGGAACCUUACCCGGGCUUAAAUUGCAGAUGAAUUACGGUGAAAGCCGUAAGCCGCAAGGCAUCUGUGAAGGUGCUGCAUGGUUGUCGUCAGCUCGUGCCGUGAGGUGUCGGCUUAAGUGCCAUAACGAGCGCAACCCUUGUUGUCAGUUACUAACAGGUUCCGCUGAGGACUCUGACAAGACUGCCAUCGUAAGAUGUGAGGAAGGUGGGGAUGACGUCAAAUCAGCACGGCCCUUACGUCCGGGGCUACACACGUGUUACAAUGGGGGGUACAGAGGGCCGCUACCACGCGAGUGGAUGCCAAUCCCAAAAACCUCUCUCAGUUCGGACUGGAGUCUGCAACCCGACUCCACGAAGCUGGAUUCGCUAGUAAUCGCGCAUCAGCCACGGCGCGGUGAAUACGUUCCCGGGCCU
rnacentral:rRNA from 1 species